CAUCAGCUUCUUCUUCCUCACUUCAUACACCACGCAGCAAACAGAAAGGGGAAGAGGAGGAGAUCCGUAACCCUCAUCCAAUCUUCAAACCACCGUAUCUUCCUCGUUUGAGCUCCGAUCGCUGCACCGUUUGCGGCCACGCGUCCAGCGCGUCAAGCUCUACCUUUCUAUCCGAACAAUUUCUCUCGUUCAAAAUAGCUUCCGGAACUUGUGAGCUCAAGCUAUUGAGCAUAUGGGUAUGGUGUAGGUUAAGUGGGUGUUUAUGUAUUGGAAUUGAAUUGGGAUUACUUGGAGGUUUGUUGGUGACCAAGGCUUGCUUUGGGGUUGUUUGAUUGAGCUUGGAGGGGCUGUAAUUUUGUAUUGAGAGGCUGCCUUGGAUGAAUUAAGUGAUCGGCCAAGAUGCAGGUCGAGAGGCUCCUUGCUAGGCGUCUGGAUCCUAGGAAGCGAAGUAGUCCUUGGAUGUGUUUUGGCUUUCUAUUUGUAUAUAUGUAUAUAUGUAUUUAGCUUACUCUCCAAGUAACUUAUGUAUGCUGCUUCUCUUAGAGGUUGAGGGAGAGAUAGGAGUUUACUUUGAUAUUUUGGUGUAUUUUGGGAUAUUUUGGGAACACUUAUGUUUGUUUGUUUAUAUAUAUAUAUCCUCCGGCCAGCCUUAGUUUCGCAGGCUGAGUCAGGGGCUAG